UAAAUAAAUGUUUCGCUUCCAAACUAGUUACCAUAGCUUACACCAACUAAAAUCCAAAUAUUAUAGCUAGGUACAUGAGGAAAGAGAACCAGUCCUAUUUUAAGUGUGGUGAGAAUUAUUUCUAAGUUAAUAUUGUAAAAAGAAAUAAAGCUUUAGUAAUGGAGGAAUGUUAAAAAGAGCUCAUUAAAGAUGAUGAGGAAAAUUAAAAGGAUAAGGUUGAAUAGGCAAAUACUAUAAUACUAUCUAUCUAAGCCAUUGAAGCAUAUUUAUGUAGAGAAUGAUUAAAAUUAGUGGUGGAAGAUAUGAGAGUGAUGAUACUGCUAGAUAGUUGUAGCUCUUAUUCAUUUAUAGGUGAAAAGUUGGUUAAGAGACUCAACCAAGAGGUGGCAUUUAGAGCAACCUUAAUUAUCAUAAUCUCCAAUGGCCAAUGAGUGGUGAAUAG
rnacentral:lncRNA from 1 species